CCUACGGGUGGCAGCAGUAGGGAAUAUUGCUCAAUGGGGGAAACCCUGAAGCAGCAACGCCGCGUGGAGGAUGAAGGUUUUCGGAUUGUAAACUCCUUUUGUUAGAGAAGAUAAUGACGGUAUCUAACGAAUAAGCACCGGCUAACUCCGUGCCAGCAGCCGCGGUAAUACGGAGGGUGCAAGCGUUACUCGGAAUCACUGGGCGUAAAGAGCGCGUAGGCGGGAUAGCAAGUCAGAUGUGAAAUCCUAUGGCUUAACCAUAGAACUGCAUUUGAAACUGUUAUUCUAGAGUAUGGGAGAGGUAGGUGGAAUUCUUGGUGUAGCGGUGAAAUGCAUAGAUAUCGCGCAGAACUCCGAUUGCGAAGGCAGCAUGCCGGCUCCACACUGACGCUGAGGCACGAAAGCGUGGGUAUCGAACAGGAUUAGAUACCCUAGUAGUC
rnacentral:rRNA from 1 species